GACGAACGCUGGCGGCGUGCCUAAUACAUGCAAGUCGAACGAGAGCGACCGGUGCUUGCACUGGUCAAUCUAGUGGCGAACGGGUGAGUAACACGUGGGUAACCUGCCCAUCAGAGGGGGAUAACAUCCGGAAACGGAUGCUAAAACCGCAUAGGUCUUCGAGCCGCAUGGCUUGAAGAGGAAAAGAGGCGCAAGCUUCUGCUGAUGGAUGGACCCGCGGUGCAUUAGCUAGUUGGUGAGGUAACGGCUCACCAAGGCCGUGAUGCAUAGCCGACCUGAGAGGGUGAUCGGCCACACUGGGACUGAGACACGGCCCAAACUCCUACGGGAGGCAGCAGUAGGGAAUCUUCCGCAAUGGACGCAAGUCUGACGGAGCAACGCCGCGUGAGUGAAGAAGGUUUUCGGAUUGUAAAACUCUGUUGUUAGAGAAGAACAAGUGCUAGAGUAACUGUUAGCGCCUUGACGGUAUCUAACCAGAAAGCCACGGCUAACUACGUGCCAGCAGCCGCGGUAAUACGUAGGUGGCAAGCGUUGUCCGGAUUUAUUGGGCGUAAAGCGAGCGCAGGCGGUUCCUUAAGUCUGAUGUGAAAGCCCCCGGCUCAACCGGGGAGGGUCAUUGGAAACUGGGGAACUUGAGUGCAGAAGAGGAGAGUGGAAUUCCAUGUGUAGCGGUGAAAUGCGUAGAUAUAUGGAGGAACACCAGUGGCGAAGGCGACUCUCUGGUCUGUAACUGACGCUGAGGCUCGAAAGCGUGGGUAGCAAACAGG
rnacentral:rRNA from 1 species